rnacentral:rRNA from 1 species
AGAGUUUGAUCCUGGCUCAGAACGAACGCUGGCGGCAGGCUUAACACAUGCAAGUCGAACGGUCUCUUCGGAGGCAGUGGCAGACGGGUGAGUAACGCGUGGGAAUCUACCUAGUUCUACGGAACAACAGAGGGAAACUUCUGCUAAUACCGUAUACGCCCUAAGGGGGAAAGAUUUAUCGGAAUUAGAUGAGCCCGCGUAAGAUUAGCUAGUUGGUGGGGUAAUGGCCUACCAAGGCGACGAUCUUUAGCUGGUCUGAGAGGAUGAUCAGCCACAUUGGGACUGAGACACGGCCCAGACUCCUACGGGAGGCAGCAGUGGGGAAUAUUGGACAAUGGGCGAAAGCCUGAUCCAGCCAUGCCGCGUGAGUGAUGAAGGCCUUAGGGUUGUAAAGCUCUUUCAGUAGGGAAGAUAAUGACGGUACCUACAGAAGAAGCCCCGGCUAACUUCGUGCCAGCAGCCGCGGUAAUACGAAGGGGGCUAGCGUUGUUCGGAUUUACUGGGCGUAAAGCGCACGUAGGCGGAUUGUUAAGUCAGAGGUGAAAUCCCGGAGCUCAACUCCGGAACUGCCUUUGAUACUGGCAAUCUAGAGUCCGGAAGAGGUGAGUGGAACUCCUAGUGUAGAGGUGGAAUUCGUAGAUAUUAAGAAGAACACCAGUGGCGAAGGCGGCUCACUGGUCCGGUACUGACGCUGAGGUGCGAAAGCGUGGGGAGCAAACAGGAUUAGAUACCCUAGUAGUCC